rnacentral:rRNA from 1 species
UACGGAGGGGGCUAGCGUUGUUCGGAAUUAUUGGGCGUAAAGGGCGCGUAGGCGGUUUGUUAAGUCAGUUGUGAAAGCCCGGGGCUCAACCCCGGAGAGUCGACUGAUACUGGCAGACUAGAGUACGGAAGAGGUAGCUGGAAUUCCCGGUGUAGCGGUGAAAUGCGUAGAUAUCGGGAGGAGCACCUGAGGCGAAGGCGGGCUACUGGGCCGAUACUGACGCUGAUGCGCGAAAGCCAGGGGAGCAAACGGG